GCUCCGGCUCGGCUGCGCAUCGCGGGAGCGCUGACAGCACCUGCAGCCGCGCCGCGCCCAGGACAGCGCGGGGACUCGCAGCCGGGGAGUGGAAUAAGGGCAUGGGAACUGCCUCCUCGCGCACUGAUGUCCUCAGCUCUUCCUCACAUGGUGUUCGGAGCCUUCACCGGAGCAGCUUCGCCCGGCAUGCUGGCUGCCAGCACUCGGAGCACGGGGCAGCCCUCAAGGGUCCUGCAGAGGUUUUGACAAGUCUUCCAUGUUUUUUGCUCCAUUCUUUGGGUCAAGAACACUCUGGUUAAUAGCUAAUUAUUUCAUACCCUGAGGAAGUUUUGGGAAAGAAGUUCCUGGGAAGAGUCAACUUGUUUCAGGAAAUGAGACUACUAUCCAGUAGCUAUCCGAAUUACGAAGCCUGCUGAAAUUAUCCUUGGCUGCCUAAACCAGAAUGUGCGGAUCUACCUGAGAAAACAGAAGAUUGGAACUUAGAGAGGAAGCAGAAUGGACUCCUAGGGAUGAGAAGAUGGGAAAAAUAUGUAAGAUUUAAACUUGUGGUCUUUUCACAAACAAAUCAUCCCAAAGUAGUGGUUCAGAACCAUGGACUCAGUCAGACUUCUCCCAAAGUCAUUCCUCCGCCCUGGCCAGAAAUCCCACCCAAACCUGGGGUAGGAAGAACAAUCCAAGAACCCAUUUCUUGUUAUCAGCAGUUAAUGACUGCAACAUAAACUGUCUUCACCAUGACACUUCGGAGAGCCCGGCUUGUGCUGCUGGGGUGAGAGGAGGUGCUGCUCUGCCUCUUCCUUGGGCAUGCUUGUGACAGAGCUGUCUGCCCCCGGCCGGUCCUUCUCCACUGUGUCUCUGCGGCCUGCAAGCACAGGCACAGCUAACUGAACCACACAAAUAAGUAUUAAGUGCUCAGUAACAUUGGCCAAGUUAAAUCUGAUUAUCAUGUACCACCUCUCACAAAACAUUAACAGUUUCCCGGAAAUUAAAUGCCUGCAGAACCACAAUGUCACAUCCCCUCUGGCUGCCAUUGUCGUUCUGCUUCUGUCAGCCUCUGUGCGUGCAAAAAUACCUUUCCAUUUCUAAGCACAUGCCAUACUGGAAACCAGAGCUUUGGUGUGGGGCAAUAUAAUUCAAGAAAGGAUCCCAGCUAUGAUGAAAUCGCUUAAACUUGAGCCUGAGCAAGUGAGCAGAGCUCAGAUUUUGAGAGAGUGACUCACGUGUUAAAAGCAAACAUAAGCUCAAGUGUUCUUCUGGAUCAUGGCCAUAUUGAACUUUAAUGACCUAAGUGGAUUUACUCCCAGAAAAAUUUACCUUCCCCUUUCCUCCUGCCCGCACGUACAUUUGCACCCCAACCAAUCACUUACGUCUCUAUUUUCUACAUGCUACUUUUAUUGAAAACUUUAUGGCUUGUUUAAUCUCUUUCCAAGCAUGGCUUUAUUUCCCCUCUUGAUUUCCUCUAUGAUUCAUCAACAGGGCUUUUUUACCCCUACCCAAAGGAUUUCAAUUUCACUGUACAAAUUUAAUCAAAGCAAAAUUGUUAAGGCUUAUUAAAGAAGCUGUGCUGUCUCUGUGCUCCUUCAUCUUACCCCCCACCCCAUGAAAAGAUGAAGAAGGUGCUGAAGAUGCACAUCAGGUGAAACUAUUGCCUACACAUGGCAAAAAUAAUAUCUUUCAGCACUCUGCCUGAGGAUUUUUUUGCUGGUAUGUGGUCCUGAUAUCUAAAAUUAUAGGCAUUUAGAUGUCAGGUAGCAGGAGAGAGAAAAAAAAUAAAGAAAAGGUAUUAUAGUAAAAUGGCAACGAACUGAUGUCUUGGUGAUGGUUAUAAGGUCUUUUAUUCCUUAAAAAUAGCAGAGCUUUAUAAAGUUUUUAUCAUACCUGAUAGAAAAUUAAAGGCUGCUGAUAUUUUGCAACUCAUUUCUCAUUGCUUGUUGAUUACAUAAGUGUUUUUGAAUGAAGGAGCACUGUGAGGUCCUGUCAGAAGCUAAGCUGACAUGGCUUCUGUCUUUCCUUUCUAUUACGAUAGUCAAUAGCUCAGUUGUAAAGAAUAUAAUUGCUCUUUGUGACUGUAUUAGACAUUCUUUUGGGAGAGCUAGCUAAAAUUUGAGAGCAGAAAAGCAUUUCUGGACAAAAAAAACAACCCAGCAUGCCAGACAAAUCAAUAAUAAGUGGAUGGAGCUGAAUCUGAGACUUUUGGGUUGGGUUAGAACCUAAAUCAAGACAAUAUUGACUCUGUAAAGCCUGUAUUUUUAGGGGUGGCUAUAUCAAAAUCAAUAUUACCUUUUUGCUUUAUUUGAAAUCUUCCAUGCGUUUGUGCAAGCAAAUCCAUUUUACAAUUAUAUUUCUUUUCUUGAGCUAAAGUCUUCUAUUUGGUAUGUGUGACCUGUGUACUGCGCCUCUAUGUAAAUUAUCAAAAGGUGGAUUGUAGGUGGUAUCUCUCACCAGUGUUCUCUGCUAAUGAUAUUUACAAAGGAAAUGAAAUAUCUAUGCAAAUUCUUCAUUGCAUAAAUUAUGUACAACUCAUAUAUAUAUAAAAGUUCUCUACAAGCUGUUCACCAUUAGCUCAGAAAUAAUUCUUUUAUUUUCUGGAAAAAGGGCACAAGUGUACACUGAACAUCAGAAUGUGAAAGAUAAACUGUGGGCAUUAAUGAUUGUAUUUGUGCAGAUUUCCAUCCAAGAUCUUGUUGUAUCCAAUAUAUCCAAUAUUACAUUAUUUAAACAUACCACACCUUUGUGAAAGGUAAAUAUUUGUAUACCCAUUUUGCAGAUAAAGCUGCAAGGGCAAGUGCAAACUUUAUCUGUCUGUGCUCUGAGUUAGGCAUGAAUCUUGUGAUCCUGCACUUGGCUAGAGCACUUGGGCUGAUCCUGACUGUUCAGAGAGCUCAGUGGGGGCUAAUAACUUAGGCAUAGUUAUAUGGUUCCUGUUCAGAACCAGUUUGUGUUGGCCAUUUCAGAGUGUGCCUAGCAAAAGCUUGUCUCUUUGUGCAACUGCCCGCAUAGACUUGCCCUAAAUAAAUUUGAAAAUGAGGAUUCUGUAUCUUUGAACGUUUAGACUGGAGAUGAUGCAGUAUUAGCUUGCUAUAAAGCUGCUCAAAAAUAUGAACCUGGGCUCAAAGUUAAACCAUCAGGUGUACCAUCCCCAGGCCCCUGUCUUCUGCGGGUUUUAGAAUGAAAAAGCAUUGCUAAUAUUUUGAUUAACUGUUUUGUAGAGCAAAACCAGUGCAUUCCCGGUAUCUCAUUAUGCUAGGAAAAUGCAUCUAUCACAGGUAGCAUUUCCCAACUCCUAAUGCUUCUGAUUUUUGCCUGUGCUACCAGCCUUCCCUUAUCUAUCUCAUAACUACUCUGUGUGUGGCAUUUAUGAGGUAAUAUCCAGGUAUGAUGUUUAAUCACUUAGCAGGAAAGAAAUAACACAAUGCACUUACUCAGCAAUUCCUUCUGAGUCGUGCUUUGAUGAUCUGAUCUUCCAUCCCUUGAUAUAACCAAAUUAUUACUUCAGCAAAACUGGUAGCCUGCAGUGCCAACACACACAGCUGAAGUGAUAAUAACAGUUGGUUUUACACGUACAAAUGCACAUCCUCCAAAUUGCAUUCCUAAGAAAAAAGGUUAGAAAACCUAUCUGAUAAUAUGAAUUUGAAGAGGGUUUUGUAUAAUCAAUAUACACAUACUGGUUGAUGCUUGAUAUUCAUUGCAUCUACUUCUGCAGGAGAUAAUGUAUAUUUAAGUGUAUAAAAUAAGUAUAUUAAAUAUUAGCUCUGUGUUUCCAAUAAAACAAAAUUUCUGGAUUAAUAGAUGUGUUUUCCAUUU